rnacentral:lncRNA from 1 species
CGAUUGGUAACAAUAUCUCAGAAAUUCCUACCAAAAUGUAUAGCUUACAAACAUCUACUGAAGGCAACUUGUGUUUUUUCAAAAUAAAUUCAUAUAUAACUUGCAAUUCAUAUUGUCCAUUACCUUUUGCAAAGUACUUCCGACAAUCACUUUUUUCAAGUGUUUUUUCAUUUAACAUAAUCUGCUCACCAACUAAACUCAGCCCUAAGCUUAACGUAACAUCUACUUCCUUUAAUUCCACAAAUUUUUCUCCAAACCAAAAACCACCCCUCUCAUCAUCCCACCUUUCUAAUAAAUCGCUCAGAAUAUUCCUACCAAGUUUAAUGUCAUCAUUUAGUUCUAAAAACCAUUGAAAUGGAGUUUGUG